GGCUGGAGUGCUAUAGCAUGAACAUGGCUCACUGCAGCCUUGACCUCCUGAGCUCAAGUGACCCUACCACCUCACCUCCUGAGUAGCUGGGGCCACAGGAUUCCAUUUGGAAUUGUGACUCUGACUGCCUCUAGAACGUGUUGCAUCUGGAAAAUUCACCAAGACUCAAACCAAGACAGAGAAGAACAUGAAUAUGGAAUGAUGAGGAUGUGGCGUAAAUGGGAUGCUCGCCCUUGGAACCCAACAGCCAUAAGAUGAGGAAGCCCAAGCCACAUGGAGAUACCACAUGUUAGUGAUCUGGCCAAUAGCCGAGGUCCCAGCUGUUUGAAAUGUAGCUGAGAUCUGUUUGAAGGAAGUGUGGUA